CAGAAGCAGCAGUGCAUUAGUUUGACCUGGCUCCGCAGCAUCUGUAGAUUGGGCACUUCUGUGGGGCUUUUUGGUGUUUUUAUAUAAUAGCUGAUUAAUCAGCUAUUAGAUAAAAGAGCCAAAAAAGCCCCACUAAGGUGCCUGAUCUAUACAAACUAUCAAUGCCUC